ensembl:lncRNA
CAAUAUGGGUUGUGAGAUUGGUGGUUGGGUGUGUACUUAAAGUUGUGGAUGCUGUGGUGGUUGUGGUAGUUGUGGUAGUUGUGGGAGCGUACGUACUGACAUUUGUGGGUGUGGUUGUGAGUUCAGUAGUUGUUUGGGUGGUAUUUGGAAGUGCAGGUGAAAUCUGUGUGGUCGUGAGUUGUAUUGUCAAAGGAGGAGAGGUUGGUUCCCCUGUGGUUGUGAGGUUUGUUGUCAGAGGAGGGGAGGUUAUUGGUUCCUCUGUGGUUGUGAGGUUUACUGUCAGAGGAGGGGAGGUUGUUGGUUCCUCUGUGGUUGUGAGGUUUAUUGCCAGAGGAGGAGAGGUUGUUGGUUCC